rnacentral:rRNA from 1 species
UACGUAGGGUGCAAGCGUUGUCCGGAAUUAUUGGGCGUAAAGAGCUCGUAGGCGGUUCGUCGCGUCGAAUGUGAAAACCCGGGGCUCAACUCCGGGCCUGCAUUUGAUACGGGCGGACUAGAGUUCGGUAGGGGAGACUGGAAUUCCUGGUGUAGCGGUGAAAUGCGCAGAUAUCAGGAGGAACACCGGUGGCGAAGGCGGGUCUCUGGGCCGAUACUGACGCUGAGGAGCGAAAGCGUGGGGAGCGAACAGG